CUGGGAGGCACAGCGCCCGUGUGCUGGAGGCGAGUUGGCUCCGGGUGGGGGAGGCUGGGGUUCCAAACCAGGGCAGGGGAAUGGUGGCCCUGCGUGGCUCGUGGACCUCUCUCAGGGACCCCUCUCAGCAGGGGCCGGAAAAGCAGGCCCACACCCAGUGGUCAUUGCAGGAACUUCACUUGAGCUGGUCUGCUUGUGAGCCUGUGGUUUGGAGAGGAGAAGACGCACUUCCCCAUGAGAAAAAGGGAGUGAAACUUCCGUGCAUGGCAGAGCCUCAUGACAGAAGGAGCCUGGCUCCUUGAAAGACCGGGUGGAGAGAGCUGCUCACAGGUUGGAGCACUGCCCAAGAUGUUACAUGAGCAAGAAAUAAACUUCCGUGGUGUUUAGUCACUGCAUUUGGGUCUAUUUGUUACUGCACCUUAGCCUAUGCUAACAAUUAUAGAGUCUGC
rnacentral:lncRNA from 1 species